CGGCGGACGGGUGAGUAACGCGUGGGUAACCUGCCUCAUACAGGGGGAUAACAGUUGGAAACGGCUGCUAAUACCGCAUAAGCGCACAGUACCGCAUGGUACGGUGUGAAAAACUCCGGUGGUAUGAGAUGGACCCGCGUCUGAUUAGGUAGUUGGUGGGGUAACGGCCUACCAAGCCGACGAUCAGUAGCCGGCCUGAGAGGGUGACCGGCCACAUUGGGACUGAGACACGGCCCAA
rnacentral:rRNA from 1 species